AAGAUCAAUGUGUGAUUUAAGCUGCAGAAGUGUUUCAUUUACAGCAGUGGGUGCUCUUAUGUUUGUGGCAUGGAUGUUAAAAAUUUAAAUGUUCUCCUGGUAGGGUUUUUUUUUUUGAUGAAUAUAUAGUAUCCCUCCUCAUUUCCUUUUAUUAAUUUUUGUUUGAAGUCUAUUUUCUUAGAUAUUAAAAUGGCUACCCCGGCUUGAUUAUUAGGUCCAUUUGCUUGGAGUAUCCAGGCCUUCCUGGAGGUGGCCCACUGUUUUUGCAUGGUGUAUGAUAGGUGAGCUCAGUGGCAUGGUUCCAAAGAGAUUUCAUCUCAGAAUUGCUUCUUACAGCUGAUAUGCCUUUCCUAUCAUUAUUAAUUAACCUUCCCUGUGCAUUAGUCAACCCUAUUGAUCAGAUUUCCUGCAGAUCAACAUAAAAAUGAACUUUCAUGAAUUAAGGCUGUUUAGAUGAGUCAGUUAUUCUAUAGAAUUCCUGAUUUGAUUCAAAUAAUUUUAGGAAGAAAGUUUUAAGAAACAGUCUUAGUUGCUUCACUAGAAAGAUAUAACAAAGUUAGAAUCAAGAAUAGGGUGUGCCCACUUCUCAUAAUAGUAAGUAAAGAUUGUAUAAUAAGAAAUACCAUGAGCUUUCAUAAUUACAGUAAAAAGAGAAAUAGACUUAGGACAUAUUUAUAUUCAAGAAAAAACAUUUAGGUCCAAAGAUAAAGUCAUAGGUAUGCACUAUGAUAAGGCCAUGUAAAAACUGUUGCUUUGAACUUAUAACAAGCAUAUUAUAAUGAAACACUGUCUUGAACUUAAUAUCAGCAUCCUUCUGUAACUCACAUUUUAUGUACCAUUUUAUCUCUGAGGUAAUUUUCUAAAGAACUUUUUGUCUAAGAAUGUAUAAAAAGAGAUAAAGUUGUCUAAGAAAGCCAGAGAAAAAGAAAUAAAGUUGUUGGUUGGAUGGU
rnacentral:lncRNA from 1 species